UCUACACUCAACUGUUUUUUUAUUUGUUCAUUAGCAUCAGGUUUUGUAGGAGUUGACAUCAACCAGCAGGACAAAGAUAAAACCUGAAGACGAGGCUGCACAUUUGUCUCCUUGUGCAAAUUGUGGAUUUGAUGUGAAAUAUGUGAACUCCUUCAAAGUCCUGCUGAUGUUUCUUCAUUUUUUGGACUGUGUUACUUCAGCUGACUCACCUCACCUCCUUUAUAUAGAAGGAGACUUCCUUGUUGUGUAUAGAAAGGAAUGAAUGACAGGCAAAGAGUGUCCCAUGAUGCACUUCAGGUUUUACAUGUUUGAAUUUCAUUUGAAUGAGAAACUGUUAUAAUUGAUGUCUUUUCACCCUUUAUUUAUGACCUUUAUUUACAUCUUCAAUGCCAGCAAAUGUUGUUGUUCCAGUUGUGCGUUAUGUGGAAAGACAAGUAAUCCGUCCAGAGACAUGAUUUUAUAAAAAUACUAAUGAUAAUUUGCUGGUGAACUAAUCCGAGUCAUGUGCUUGCAUUUCAGUCGAUGCUUCCUGGAGACGAUGACCACAUGAGGACAAUGACCACAUGAGGACGAUGACCACAUGAACCCGAUAGAAAAAUGAAAAGCAUCAAAGUUGAUGGAAAUCCCCGUCAGUGUGUGUUCAUCAGUCCCGAGGAAGAAAUCCCAUCACCAUGGAGAUGGAAGUACCGACCCUGCCUGCUCUGCCCUGGACAGUGGAUUCUGCCUGACGUCUGCCUGACGCCUGCCUGCUCCCUGCCCGACGCCUGCCUGCCUCACAGUACAGACCUCAGCCAUUGAACUAUCGCUGAACUUUGUGUUAAAUAAACAUCAAUACCAACUGUG